GGCCUGAUAGUUCAGUGGUAGAAUUCUUGCUUUGGGUUAAAGAGCUUCAUACAAGUUCUCUCUCAUCUCAAUUGUAAGAGGUCUCCGGUUCGAUCCCGGAUUAGGCCC